GAUCUGUUUAAUUGAAUACGGGUUGGAGAUUUCAAAAGUUAUCCGAUCCAGACCCACCUGCAAAUCGAGAUUACUCCCGAAGUUGUCUUCUUUAGAACCAAGUUCGAUUGCGCCUCCUCUCUGCAACUCAAGAUUACAGCAUAGUGAACGAUGGCCAAGCAUCACCCUGAUUUGAUCAUGUUCCUGAAGCAACCAUUGGGCGGCUCUGAGAGAAGUGUGAACGGUCAUUGCGUUAUCUGUGGAGGAGUUGGGAUUUCUGAUGCUUACUAUUGCUCAUCGUAGUUUUUGUGGAAAAGAUAGGAAGAUGUUAGAUAAGCAAGAUGUUAGCUUACUUUGAGUCUCAGAGACCUGCCUUUGUGAUGGGUAUUAUGUAUGUUAGAUAAAUCAGAACAAUUAUGGAAAGAACAAUUAUGUAUUAUGUAUGUUAGCAAUGGAAUGAUGCAAAGAACAAAUUUUUUCUGCUCAA